UGGAUGACAGAGAACAGUGGACACACAGUUUAACAUGAUGGACUAUAGGACAGGACUGCUGCUGUUAACUAUCUGCUGGGCAGGUGUUGAUGGUCAGACUCUGACAGAAUCUGAACCAGUGGUUAAAAGGCCUGGAGAAUCUCACAGAUUGACCUGUACAACAUCUGGAUUCACAUUCAGCAGCUACCAUAUGAAGUGGGUCAGACAGGCUCCUGGAAAAGGACUGGAGUGGGUUGCCUGGAUUGAAAAUGAUAAUGACAGGAAAUUCUACUCUCAGUCAGUUCAAGGCCGGUUUACCAUCUCCAGAGACAACAGCAGACAGCAGGUGUAUCUGCAGAUGAACAGUCUGAAGACUGAAGAUUCUGCUGUUUAUUAUUGUGCUCGAGACUCACAGUGACUGGAGUUGGUUGAGCAGCUGUACAAAAUCCUACAGUACUCAUCUUUCAGGCUGGUAGAGUCUGUGCAUUAAGUAUUCCUAGUAUUUGUAUUAUAUAUUCAUUUUAUUUUGAAUUUGACAUGAGAUUUUUUAAUACAUUGUUUUAUAUGCUACAUUACAUUUUAUUUAGAUGUAUUUUAGUAAUUAAAUUAAUAAUUGUCUCUGAAUUAAAGUCCAGAAAACUGUUCCUCAUAUUUUAUUACGAAAUAUUAAAAACAUAAAAAACACAAUAAAAGUCACUUGUUGAUAAAAAGGCCAAAGACAGCACAAUCUGGUUGCAGCAA